UCCUAGCCCCGAUUGAGCGGUAUGUUUGAGCUCUUUUCUGUUUUCGGCGGGCGAAGCCCGCCGAAAACAGAAAAAGCGAGUAGCGAAAGCGGGAAAUAGC
rnacentral:misc_RNA from 1 species